CAAAGCACGGGACAGGAGUGGCAGACCCCGAACAGGGCGGUGGGACCGCAGGGGCCGGGCAGGGACACCGGAGGCUGCAGGUGGCCACGAAGGAGGGCAGAGAUCACUGAAUGAUGUGAAACCUUCCUGACACAUGAAGGUCUUUGGAAGCUGAGGUGCCUGAGGGCUGCUGGCUCAGAGCAGGGCUGGCCAAGGGACCUUCUCUGAAAUCCCUUCUCCACACAGGAAGAGAAACAUUUGCUCAUCUGAUGGUGCACCUGGAACAAAUUUGCAUGGUCUGUUGAUAUUUAUUAGUGCAGGUACGUAACUUAAGGUUGAAGAGCAUUUUCCAGGUACCUGUCGUGUGCAUUACUGAAACAUAAAUCUCUAUUUUGUAUUCUACUAGCAAAAUCAGCAGCUUCAGCUGGACUUUUUCCUUAGAGGCCACAGAAAGGGCACAGUUAACUUGUUUGCACUGGGGAGCUGGCAAGAGGUUGUAAACCGAAAGGCUGUAGUACAGGAAUUAGUGCAUGUGUGAAGGGUUUCCUGCUCUGCAUUUCUCAUCUCCAGAAAGCCCCACAAUGGUUGAAACAGCUUUCCAGUGACUGUCACACACUUCAGCUUGCCCAAAGGUGUCCUGACGUGUAAGGAGAGACGAGCAGGAAGAAUGGGGGAAGAACAAGCCCGGGGAUCUGUUGUCUUUUUAGAAGCCUCAGCCAUGAUUGAUGAACUCAACAUAAAGCCACUGACUGAAGGGAAAAGAGACUCAGACAAAGAAUCUAUGUUAAACGUGAUCAAAAAUUCUGAUGGACAGUUUAACCUUGAGGCUGCAAUUAAAAAUGCUGACACAAUGUCCAAUGAAUUGAAGAAAAUAAAUGUGGAAAGCCAGCUACUGCUUUGUGACCUGAUUUUGAAUUUCAACCAUCCUAUGAAGGCCAAAGAUUUAAGAGAAGCUGAAGAAAAGACUUGGAGUUUGACUGAUUAAGUAACAUCCAUUUUCAUGUGUUGUCUUCUAUUAAUACUACUGAAGUUGCUGCUUCUUCUUCUUCUUUCUUCUUCAUUUUCUUUCUUUUAAUUAAGUUUGAACUGUACAAUGAUAGCAUGGUUUCUUGCAGGUAGACUUUGUUUUAAGCUAAAGAUGGGGAAUGGAAAAAAAAGUAGGUUAUUGCUUCUGAGAGUGUUUUUUUCAACCCACAUUUCCCAAAUUAAGCCCACUAGGGCUGGAAAGACUGAUGUAAGUAAUUAAAAAGAUCAGGAAACUGGGCAUGACAUUUCUCACGUGGUUUUCUCUUUUUAAACAAAAACGUGUUGGAGCAGUAACAAUGAUUUGAAAUUUACUUCAAGUCACUGUCUCUUGUCUCAGUUGUGCCUGGGGAAACAGGAUAAGAAACAGCCAGUGAAGGAGGAACUGCAGUUUGUGUUUUCAGCUGCCUUCCUCAUCUUAAAAAUGUUGCUGAGGAAAGAUUACUUCUGGAAAACCAAAAAUGCUUUCUAUUCUAGUUUCUGUAAUGACUCUCUAAUGCAACUAGCUACAAGAAUAGGGAGGAGUUUGUGGUUUCAGUGCUCUGUCCUGAAAUCUUCUUGGCCCAACAUUUGCACAGCCACUCUUUUCCUGUAGUUCAUUACAAUUCCUAUUCAAUCAUACUUUACUUGUGGACAUGUUUGAAUGUUGAGAUGGAGCUUUAUUCUUACCUCAGAUAUAUCUCUCUGAAUAAUCAAAUAGAGAUUUAUUCUACAUAAAAAAAUAUGCAAUGUUAGAAUUUGUUAUGCUGGUUUAUAUUGUAUUUCUCUUUCACUGGUGAGAGGAUAUAAAAUUAAUAAAACUCAAUUCCAUAGGA